rnacentral:rRNA from 1 species
UACGGGGGGUGCAAGCGUUAAUCGGAAUUACUGGGCGUAAAGGGUGCGUAGGUGGUUUGAUAAGUUAUCUGUGAAAGCCCUGGGCUCAACCUGGGAAGGCCAGAUAAGACUGUUGGACUCGAGUACGGGAGAGGGUAGUGGAAUUUCCGGUGUAGCGGUGAAAUGCGUAGAGAUCGGAAGGAACACCAGUGGCGAAGGCGGCUACCUGGCCUGAUACUGACACUGAGGCACGAAAGCGUGGGGAGCAAACAGG